UACGUAGGGUGCGAGCGUUGUCCGGAAUUACUGGGCGUAAAGGGCUCGUAGGUGGCCAACUAAGUCAGACGUGAAAUCCCUCGGCUUAACCGGGGAACUGCGUCUGAUACUGGAUGGCUUGAGUUCGGGAGAGGGAUGCGGAAUUCCAGGUGUAGCGGUGAAAUGCGCAGAUAUCAGGAGGAACACCGGUGGCGAAGGCGGGUCUCUGGGCCGGUACCGACGCUGAGGAGCGAAAGCGUGGGGAGCGAACAGG
rnacentral:rRNA from 1 species